rnacentral:rRNA from 1 species
UACAGAGGUCCCGAGCGUUGUUCGGAUUCACUGGGCGUAAAGGGUGCGUAGGUGGUGAGGUAAGUCGGAUGUGAAAUCCCGAGGCUCAACCUCGGGUCUGCAGUCGAUACGAGCAAACUAGAGUGUUGCAGGGGAGACUGGAAUUCCUGGUGUAGCGGUGAAAUGCGCAGAUAUCAGGAGGAACACCGGCGGCGAAGGCGGGUUGCUGGGCUGACACUGACGCUGAUGUGCGAAAGCUAGGGGAGCGAACGGG